rnacentral:rRNA from 1 species
UACGGAGGGUGCGAGCGUUGUCCGGAAUCACUGGGCGUAAAGGGCGCGUAGGUGGCGUCGCAAGUCAACGGUGAAAGCUCGACGCUCAACGUCGAGUCGGCCGUCGAGACUGCGAGGCUUGAGCACUGUAGAGGCAGAUGGAAUUCCGGGUGUAGCGGUGGAAUGCGUAGAGAUCCGGAAGAACACCGGUGGCGAAGGCGGUCUGCUGGGCAGUUGCUGACACUGAGGCGCGACAGCGUGGGGAGCAAGCAGG